AGCAGCCGCGGUAAUUCCAGCUCCAAUAGCGUAUAUUAAAGUUGCUGCAGUUAAAAAGCUCGUAGUUGAAUUUCGGGACUAAUAUGUCGGUCGUGCCUCGGUACGUACUGGUAUUUUUGGUUUCUCCCUUCUGACGAACCUUGAUGUCAUUAAUUUGGUGUCUUGGGAAAUCAGGACUGUUACUUUGAAAAAAUUAGAGCGUUUAAAGCAGGCUCACGCUUGAAUACAUUAGCAUGGAAUAAUGAAAUAGGACGUUUGAUUCUAUUUUGUUGGUUUCUAGGAUUGACGUAAUGAUUAAUAGGGAUAGUUGGGGGCAUUAGUAUUCAAUUGUCAGAGGUGAAAUUCUUGGAUUUAUUGAAGACUAACUACUGCGAAAGCAUUUUGCCAAGGAUGUUUUCAUUAAUCAAGAACGAAAGUUAGGAGAUCGAAGACGAUCAGAUA
rnacentral:rRNA from 1 species